CCUUAAAAAGGGGAACCCCAACCCCUGAGGUGCUCCUCUCUCCAAGGCCACCGGCACCCUCAAAGUACACAACCUUUUAACUUCAAACUUCCUGUCUCCAACCUCCCUGGAUGCCCCUCUCUGCUGAGGCGGCCCCACUUUGUCUCUCCCCAAGUAACUCCAAACAAAAUUCUUACUCCGCCUCACCGCCAUGUCCCCACCCCUCAACUCUCGCAGCGGCGGCGGGGACAAGGACCGAGGAAAACACACAACGCCCCCCCAACACCAGGGCUUGUUGUCCUGGGAAGUCUCUUGUAGUUAGUUCCUCCUCCUUCGCUUUCUCUUCUCUGGUGUUGACGGGAAAUACGGGAAGCGCCCUUGGUAACUAACAGAUUUCUCAGAUCGGUCACCCCUGUUCUCUGAAAGCAUCAAGGACCCCAAUAGAGACCAGAGGACACAGGACAACAUCCAGACCACAUCCACACCUGCGAGAACCCAGCGCCUCACGAAGGGGGUGGCGAUAAUUGUACAACAAGUUAUUCCAUAUAACUGUUUGAAGACAAAUACUUCAGAGAGAUCUCUGCGUGUUUGAGUUGUUGUGAUAUGAGUAUGGAUUCAUAAGAAAAAGUGACUGGAAGUGGAUCACUGCAGAAACCUCCCAUCAAGAAUCUCUGACAGGACACAGAUUCGUAAAAAAUAAAAAUAAGGUAUUGAAUAAGAGCCCCAUUCACAUUGCCAGAGGACUGAGACAAGUGAGGUCAAGAACAAACCCCUUUGGCAAUACUUACUCUGCUCCAGGGAAACACCAACAAAUCCCUCCAACACACACCCUGGGUUUCAGGGGAGCCAAGAGUGAAGUCUACCCCCAUCUGUCAUGAAAGAGACUGUGAACAAUGCUGUACAAAGUGACCUUCCAUCCUACCACUCCCCAGGCCUAUGGAAGCAAGUGUGCCGCCUUCCCUACGGCCCUCAGGUGACCUCCAGCGAGGCAGGAGACACGCGGUCACAUUCAGCCCGCGACCUCAGGCUGUGCCACUGCUCCACGGCCGUGCGGUGAGCGUCGAGCACCCGCCGCCAGUGGUU